rnacentral:rRNA from 1 species
GACGAACGCUGGCGGCGUGCUUAACACAUGCAAGUCGAACGGAAAGGCCCUGCUUUUGUGGGGUGCUCGAGUGGCGAACGGGUGAGUAACACGUGAGUAACCUGCCCUUGACUUUGGGAUAACUUCAGGAAACUGGGGCUAAUACCGGAUAGGAGCUCCUGCUGCAUGGUGGGGGUUGGAAAGUUUCGGCGGUUGGGGAUGGACUCGCGGCUUAUCAGCUUGUUGGUGGGGUAGUGGCUACCAAGGCUUUGACGGGUAGCCGGCCUGAGAGGGUGACCGGCCACAUUGGGACUGAGAUACGGCCCAGACUCCUACGGGAGGCAGCAGUGGGGAAUACUGCACAAUGGGCGGAAGCCUGAUGCAGCAACGCCGCGUGCGGGAUGACGGCCUUCGGGUUGUAAACCGCUUUCGCCUGUGACGAAGCGUGAGUGACGGUAAUGGGUAAAGAAGCACCGGCUAACUACGUG